rnacentral:rRNA from 1 species
CUACGGGUCGCACCAGUGAGGAAUCUUCCGCAAUGGACGAAAGUCUGACGGAGCGACACCGCGUGUAGGAUGAAGCCCUUUCGGGUGUAAACUACUUUUCUGAAGGAAUAAAUUUUGAAGUUACUUCAGGAAUAAGCAUCGGCUAAUUACGUGCCAGCAGCCGCGGUAAUACGUAAGAUGCAAGCGUUAUCCGGAAUUAUUGGGCGUAAAGCGUCUGUAGGUGGUUAGUUAAGUCUAAGGUUAAAAUCCAGAGCCCAACUCUGGACUCGUCUUGGAAACUGGUUAACUAGAAUUAGGUAGAGGCAAGUGGAAUUUUGCAUGUAGGGGUAAUAUCCGUAGAUAUGCAGAGGAACACCAAAAGCGAAGGCAGCUUGCUGGGCCUAUAUUGACACUGAGAGACGAAAGCGUGGGGAGCAAAAAGGAUUAGAUACCCGGGUAGUC